AGCGAACGCUGGCGGCAGGCCUAACACAUGCAAGUCGAGCGCCGUAGCAAUACGGAGCGGCAGACGGGAGAGUAACACGUGGGAACGUACCCUUCAGUACGGAACAACCAAGGGAAACUUUGGCUAAUACCGUAUACGUCCGUAAGGAGAAAGAUUUAUCGCUGAAGGAUCGGCCCGCGUCUGAUUAGCUAGUUGGUGAGGUAACGGCUCACCAAGGCGACGAUCAGUAGCUGGUCUGAGAGGAUGAUCAGCCUCACUGGGACUGAGACACGGCCCAGACUCCUACGGGAGGCAGCAGUGGGGAAUAUUGGACAAUGGGCGCAAGCCUGAUCCAGCCAUGCCGCGUGGGUGAUGAAGGCCCUAGGGUUGUAAAGCCCUUUCGGCGGGGAAGAUAAUGACGGUACCCGCAGAAGAAGCCCCGGCUAACUUCGUGCCAGCUGCCGCCGUAACAC
rnacentral:rRNA from 1 species